GGGAGCGUUGCUAUGGGUUACAGAAUGAGGCGGCCUCGUUCCUAUCUGACAAUCAGGGCUGUUCUGCCGCACAUGGGCAUGCAAGAGACAGAAGCGGUAAGAUAAAAUAAUAAUAAUAAUAAUUAUAAAACCUGCUAACUAUGCACAGGGCAAACUUUCCAGGGAACAUUAACCGGAAUGGAAACUUCGAUGGAUGAAGCCAAGAACAGCCAUCUUCUUCUAAUGGAGAACGAAGAGGGGUACACAACCGGCAGUUCUAGACUGCUCAACAGAUAAACUGAAAGAGUUCAGAGCAAAGCUGCUGCCUUCUGCUUUUCUAAGCCAUGUAUACUGAAAUGAGAUGUUCCACUUUUAGGCACCAAACAUACCGUAUAUCCACAAGGUUUAUGGAUGUGAUGAGAG